ensembl:lncRNA
GAGGGAGAGAUGGAGGAGAGAUGGAGGAGAGAUGGAGGAGAGAUGAGGAGAGAUGAGGGAGAGAUGGAGGAGAGAUCAGGGAGAGAUGGAGGUGAGAUGGAGGUGAGAUGGAGGUGAGAUGAGGGAGGGAUGGAGGAGAGAUGGGGGAGAGAUGGGGGAGAGAUGAGGGAGAGAUGAGGGAGAGAUGGAGGUGAGAUGAGGGAGAGAUGGAGGAGAGAUGAGGGAGAGAUGGAGGUGAGAUGAGAGAGAGAUGGAGGUGAGAUGAGGGAGAGAUGGAGGAAGAUAUAGAGGAGAGAUGGAGGAAGAGAUGGAGGAGAGAUGGGGCAGA